UCGGAGAGCAUCGGCCUGCCUUUUUUCUUUUCACACAGACCGGGUCGUAUACGCUUGGAAUUGGCCGGAGCGGAGCCGCCAACUAUUUCACAUCGACCGGCUGGAAGAGAUCUGAAAGCGGGUGCGGUUGGAUGUGCUCGGAGCCGGUCGGAUGCGCUCGGAGUCGGGUGGAUACACUACAAAGGCAGUGCCAGUAUUCCGCGCAGUCUAAGUUUUGUUUUCGGUGUGUUAACGUGUGCUUUUCGAAACAUGGAUUUAGAUAGCUCCGACGAAGAAAUAUAUUUGUUAGCAAGAUUACUUGAAAUAGAACAUAGGAAACGUAAGCGCAAGCGGAAACAAAUAUGGGUAAAACAUAUUUGGAAAAACAGACUAAUCCAUGGGGAGUUUCACACCAUUUUCGAGGAAUUGAAGAGAGAUAGCCUAAAAUUUUAUGAGUAUUAUCGUAUGGAAUAUUGGCAAUUUUUGAAAUUGACAGAUUUGUUAAGAGUACAUAUAACAAAAAAGACUACAAAUUAUCGUUGCACCAUUACAGCCGAAGAAAGGUUAACGGUAACUUUAAGAUUCCUCAUCACUGGUUGCAGUUUCAAAAACUUGUCAUUUAAUUUUCGAAUGGGAAUUUCUACAGUUCAUUCAAUUAUUCAUGAGACAAUCAGAGUAAUUUGUGAUGUUUUGAUGCCCAUAGUUAUGCAGAUGCCAGAUGAAGAAAUGUGGGAAAAGUACAGUGUUACUAGCUGUGGUCGACGCGAAAUACAGUUUUUUAAUUGUUGAUGUCGGAUCAUAUGGUAAAAAUAGCGACGGCGGAAUUUUACAGAAUUCAAAAUUUUGGAAAAAACUCAACACCAAUAAGUUAAAGCUGCCCCCAAAUAAACCUCUACCUAGUACCACUGAAAGCUUACCACAUGUUUUUAUAGGAGACGAGGCAUUUCCUUUGAGCAAUAAUAUAUUGCGGCCGUAUCCAAGAGAACAAGCAAGAACAGAAUUAUCA